UACGUAGGUGGCAAGCGUUGUCCGGAAUCACUGGGCGUAAAGGGCGCGUAGGCGGCUUGAUAAGCGUGCGGUGAAAGCCCGGGGCUCAACCCCGGGUCGGCCGUGCGAACUGUCGAGCUGGAGCACUGUAGAGGCAGGUGGAAUUCCGGGUGUAGCGGUGGAAUGCGUAGAGAUCGGAAAGAACACCAACGGCGAAAGCACUCUGCUGGGCCGACACUGACACUGAGAGACGAAAGCUAGGGGAGCGAAUGGG
rnacentral:rRNA from 1 species